rnacentral:rRNA from 1 species
AACCGGGGCUAAUACCGGAUGGUUGUUUGAACCGCAUGGUUCAAACAUAAAAGGUGGCUUCGGCUACCACUUACAGAUGGACCCGCGGCGCAUUAGCUAGUUGGUGAGGUAACGGCUCACCAAGGCAACGAUGCGUAGCCGACCUGAGAGGGUGAUCGGCCACACUGGGACUGAGACACGGCCCAGACUCCUACGGGAGGCAGCAGUAGGGAAUCUUCCGCAAUGGACGAAAGUCUGACGGAGCAACGCCGCGUGAGUGAUGAAGGUUUUCGGAUCGUAAAGCUCUGUUGUUAGGGAAGAACAAGUACCGUUCGAAUAGGGCGGUACCUUGACGGUACCUAACCAGAAAGCCACGGCUAACUACGUGCCAGCAGCCGCGGUAAUACGUAGGUGGCAAGCGUUGUCCGGAAUUAUUGGGCGUAAAGGGCUCGCAGGCGGUUUCUUAAGUCUGAUGUGAAAGCCCCCGGCUCAACCGGGGAGGGUCAUUGGAAACUGGGGAACUUGAGUGCAGAAGAGGAGAGUGGAAUUCCACGUGUAGCGGUGAAAUGCGUAGAGAUGUGGAGGAACACCAGUGGCGAAGGCGACUCUCUGGUCUGUAACUGACGCUGAGGAGCGAAAGCGUGGGGAGCGAACAGGAUUAGAUACCCUGGUAGUCCACGCCGUAAACGAUGAGUGCUAAGUGUUAGGGGGUUUCCGCCCCUUAGUGCUGCAGCUAACGCAUUAAGCACUCCGCCU